rnacentral:rRNA from 1 species
AAGAGUACGUGAAACCGUUCAGGGGUAAACCUGCGAAACUCGAAUGAACGAACGGAGAGAUUCAUCGUCAUUCGCGCGGCGUACGUGCGCGCUCCACGAUUUCCCGAUUCUCGGCCCCCGUGCGAUGUGUGGCAAGCGAUUGUCGCUCUCGAGCGGGUGGCGGCGGCGGGAGACCGGACGCGUACGUGUCUACGUCCGCGGACGGCGUGCACUUCUCUCUAAGUAAUGCACCGCGACCCGUUCGAUUUUGUUUGGCGGUCUAAGCGCCGUUCGGUAGUCCCGCGAUCCGCGUGUUACGCGCGGCCCGUUGGACCGCGACGGUUGCCGACCGUCCGUCGGACGGUAUUAAUGGGAAUCGCGCACGCGUUUAACGCGUCCCGGCCCGACGCAAGGUGGCGUCGUCGCCGAGCUCCUGCCCAAGUGCGGUGUUCUCUCGGUGCGGCGCGCCUGCUCGUCGCAGCCGUGCAGUCUCGGACUGUGCGCGUGUCCGUCUGCGGUGAUUCACGUUUCGG